rnacentral:rRNA from 1 species
AACGGCUGGCGGCGUGCCUAAUACAUGCAAGUCGAACGGUCUUUCUAUGGAAGCUUGCUUCCGCUGAGAAGAUAGUGGCGAACGGGUGAGUAACACGUGGGUAACCUGCCCAUAAGAGGGGGGAUAACAUCCGGAAACGGGUGCUAAUACCGCAUAGUUUUCUUGAUCGCAUGAUCGGGAAAGGAAAGACGGCCUUUGUGCUGUCGCUUAUGGAUGGACCCGCGGCGUAUUAGUUAGUUGGUGAGGUAACGGCUCACCAAGACGAUGAUACGUAGCCGACCUGAGAGGGUGAUCGGCCACAUUGGGACUGAGACACGGCCCAAACUCCUACGGGAGGCAGCAGUAGGGAAUCUUCCGCAAUGGACGAAAGUCUGACGGAGCAACGCCGCGUGAGUGAAAGAAGGUUUUCGGAUCGUAAAACUCUGUUGUCAGAGAAGAACAAGUUGGAGAGUAACUGCUCCAGCCUUGACGGUAUCUGACCAGAAAGCCACGGCUAACUACGUGCCAGCCGCCGC